UUCUCCGGCAAAGCACAAUGCCUUCCUCACGUGGCCUGCCUCAUCUCAGCCACCGUCUUCCGGCUGUGCGGUGGGUGAGGGCACUUCAGACUGUCUCCAGCACUAAGUGCAGCAUGCCAGUGAGGCCCAGCUAGCGCCAGACACAGAGCGAUGGGAUGCCUGCAAUCACAGCUCUUUGAAGUUCCUGUUUGCCUCUGCUACUCACUCACAGUGUGAGGUGGGGAAAGUCAACACCUCUGUGCCUUGGUUAGCUCAUCACUUCACAGGGUCAUUGCUAAUAAACUAAAUUAAAUCAUAUGAAAUAAUUACAUAUAGUACAUACCCUGUACAGUGACUGGCACACAAGCAUGUUCUCCGUAACUGGCUAAUACAGAACCCCACUGUAUCCACGGGGGAAAUGUUCCAGGACCCCCAGUGGAUGCUCAGAACCUGCGAGAGUAUGGGACCUCAUAUGUACUAUUUUUUUUUUGUAUAGGUACCUACCUGUUAUAAAGUUUAAUUUAUAAAUUACUUGCCUAAGAGAUUAUCCACAAUAAUAAUAGAGCAGAACAAUGAUCACAAUAUACUGUAAUACAAGUUAUGUGGCCAUGUCUCUCCUUGUUUCUCAAAAUACCUUAUUGUUCUUGCCCUUCUUCUUGUGAUCUGUCGAACUGAUCACCACGAUGGCUGUAAGUGACUAGCAGGUAGGCAGUGUAGACAGCGUGGAUCCACUGGACAAAAGGAUGAUUCAGAACCCAGGACAGAUGGAGUGGGACAGUAUGUGAUUUCAUCAAGCUUCUCAGAAUGGCAUGCAAUUUAAAAUGUAUGCAUUGUUUAUUUCUGGAAUUUUCCAUACAAUAUUUUUGGGCUCCAAUUACCUGACCACAGGUAACUGAAACCAUAGAAAGCGAAACAGUGAAUAAGGGGAGACUACUUAAUCCUAAGGCUCAACUAGAAUGCAACAAAAUCAUAAGACCUCAGGUCAACCCAAAGUGGCUUUUCACAGACGCAACACUGUGGUCUGGCGGCCCUGGGUCUGGCGGUCAGCACAACCAGUUAAGUCCUAUGCCAUCUCAGCAAUUUACUGAUUCUCUCAUGAAAUUAGUUGAGCACAUACUAAUGGUGCUCAGGACCAUCAGGACCAAAAAGAUCAGUUAAGACAGCUGCCGACCAUGAGGAGUCUAGCACGGUGAACAGACAUCCCCAGCAAUGAAGCCCACCGGUGUGGCAGGUACUGUUACAGGUACAAGCGGGGGCUGCAGGAGCAUGGACAAUGCUGGGGGUGAGAGAAGGCUUCCAGUGGGAGAUGCCAUGUCUGGCCAAAAUACAAACAAAAAGACAACCUCUGUUCCCAUCGCUGACCCUGUCAUCAAGACCCAGCUGAGCAGGCAGCAGGCCUGGACUCUGGAAUGUCUAAGUCCAUCAGGGUAAUGCUUGCCACUGUCCCCCUUGCUGGCUCAAAGAAAAUUCCAGAGAGGCUGCACAGGCCUGGCUUGGGGCCACCCAGCGCCCUGACCAGCCUGGGGCCCUUGCAUCUUCCGAACUGAGAUGGGCUUGCCUAUGGCACAGAGUUCUAAACCGUAGGCAGGUGUCUUUGGUAUAAAUUCAGAGCCCUCUGCUUCCUCUGCCCACUCAUAACUUCACACUUUUCCCCAAGCUGCCUUUGCCUGGAACACCUUUCCUACAAGAAACACGAAGCCUCUUCUCUUUUUCUCUUUCAAAAAAAUUAAUCUCCUCCGAGCCCAUCUGCUCUAGAAAACCAUCCAGAUACAAUGGCUGCUCUUCCCCUUCGACAGGCCACAAGGCCAGCAAACAUCACAGCCCCUCAGGUGUCCCUAGUCCUGAAGAUGGACAUCACUUCCUGCCUAUCUGUCCUGCAGGAGCAGGGGAAUGAGGCAGGCAAGGGUGCUACAGCUUGGCAUGAAGGACUGAAGGGGGAUGAAGGGCGUCCCGCAGCCCCAGUGACCAGUCAAGGCAGGUGCGCUGAGGCAGGGAGGGAUGGAGAACAGAAGGAGACUCCUGGAGCCAGGAGUCCUGGGUUCACAGCAUCAUUCCUCCCUUACCCAGCAUGUGACCUUGGGCAGGGUGUUCUACCUUCAAGGGUCUGCGAUUUCUCAUCUGAGAACCAGGAGGCCUGGCCGGAGAAGGCGAAGACAAGUCUCCCUUCUCUAUAGGCUGGAAUUAGGAGGUGAUCCCUUCUCCCUGAGACUGGCACAACUGCUCUUCCAUCUACAGCCAGGCAAGCCAAGAUAGUACACGUGAUAUUUGGCACGUCCAUCUGUGGAGGGAAUGAACUCUGCCCAAAUUCACCCAUCAAUUAAGGGUCUUAUUUUGUCGCCCAGGCUGGAGUGCAGUGAUGC